rnacentral:rRNA from 1 species
AUUGAACGCUGGCGGCAUGCCUUACACAUGCAAGUCGAACGGUAACGGGCCUUCGGGUGCCGACGAGUGGCGAACGGGUGAGUAAUGUAUCGGAACGUACCUUUCAGUGGGGGAUAACGUAGCGAAAGUUACGCUAAUACCGCAUAUUCUGUGCGCAGGAAAGCAGGGGAUCGCAAGACCUUGCGCUGAUUGAGCGGCCGAUAUCAGAUUAGCUAGUUGGUGAGGUAAAGGCUCACCAAGGCGACGAUCUGUAGCGGGUCUGAGAGGAUGAUCCGCCACACUGGAACUGAGACACGGUCCAGACUCCUACGGGAGGCAGCAGUGGGGAAUUUUGGACAAUGGGGGCAACCCUGAUCCAGCCAUGCCGCGUGAGUGAAGAAGGCCUUCGGGUUGUAAGGCUCUUUCGGCCGGGAAGAAAUCGCAUUAGCUAAUACCUGGUGCGGAUGACGGUACCGGCAUAAGAAGCACCGGCUAACUACGUGCCAGCCGCCGCCGUAAAAC